rnacentral:sRNA from 1 species
GGAGCAUGGGCGACCUAACAGUCUUUUA